rnacentral:rRNA from 1 species
GGAAUUCCUGGUGUAGCGGUGAAAUGCGCAGAUAUCAGGAGGAACACCGAUGGCGAAGGCAGGUCUCUGGGCUGUUACUGACGCUGAGGAGCGAAAGCAUGGGGAGCGAACAGGAUUAGAUACCCUGGUAGUCCAUGCCGUAAACGUUGGGCACUAGGUGUGGGGGACAUUCCACGUUUUCCGCGCCGUAGCUAACGCAUUAAGUGCCCCGCCUGGGGAGUACGGCCGCAAGGCUAAAACUCAAAGGAAUUGACGGGGGCCCGCACAAGCGGCGGAGCAUGCGGAUUAAUUCGAUGCAACGCGAAGAACCUUACCAAGGCUUGACAUGGACCGGACCGCUGCAGAGAUGUAGCUUCCCUUCGGGGCUGGUUCACAGGUGGUGCAUGGUUGUCGUCAGCUCGUGUCGUGAGAUGUUGGGUUAAGUCCCGCAACGAGCGCAACCCUUGUCCUAUGUUGCCAGCACGUAAUGGUGGGGACUCAUGGGAGACUGCCGGGGUCAACUCGGAGGAAGGUGGGGAUGACGUCAAAUCAUCAUGCCCCUUAUGUCUUGGGCUUCACGCAUGCUACAAUGGCCGGUACAGUGGGUUGCGAUACUGUGAGGUGGAGCUAAUCCCUAAAAGCCGGUCUCAGUUCGGAUCGAAGUCUGCAACUCGACUUCGUGAAGUUGGAGUCGCUAGUAAUCGCAGAUCAGCAACGCUGCGGUGAAUACGUUCCCGGGCCUUGUACACACCGCCCGUCAAGUCACGAAAGUUGGUAACACCCGAAGCCCACGGCCCAACCGGUUUUCCGGGGGGAGUG